rnacentral:rRNA from 1 species
CGAUUGAGUUUGAUCCUGGCUCAGGAUGAACGCUGGCGGCGUGCCUAACACAUGCAAGUCGAACGAAGCGUGCGGAUGGAAUUUCUUCGGAGAGGAAGCCUGCAUGACUGAGUGGCGGACGGGUGAGUAACGCGUGGGCAACCUGCCCUGCACAGGGGGACAACAGCCGGAAACGGCUGCUAAUACCGCAUAAGCGCACAGCUUCGCAUGGAGCGGUGUGAAAAGCUGCGGCGGUGCAGGAUGGGCCCGCGUCUGAUUAGCUGGUUGGCGGGGCAACGGCCCACCAAGGCGACGAUCAGUAGCCGGCCUGAGAGGGUGGACGGCCACAUUGGGACUGAGACACGGCCCAGACUCCUACGGGAGGCAGCAGUGGGGAAUAUUGCACAAUGGGGGAAACCCUGAUGCAGCGACGCCGCGUGAGCGAAGAAGUAUUUCGGUAUGUAAAGCUCUAUCAGCAGGGAAGAAAUUGACGGUACCUGAGUAAGAAGCUCCGGCUAAAUACGUGCCAGCAGCCGCGGUAAUACGUAUGGAGCAAGCGUUAUCCGGAUUUACUGGGUGUAAAGGGAGCGUAGGCGGCCUGCCAAGUCUGAUGUGAAAUACCGGGGCUCAACCCCGGGGCUGCAUUGGAAACUGACAGGCUGGAGUGUCGGAGAGGCAGGCGGAAUUCCUAGUGUAGCGGUGAAAUGCGUAGAUAUUAGGAGGAACACCAGUGGCGAAGGCGGCCUGCUGGACGAUGACUGACGCUGAGGC